AUUGAACGCUGGCGGCAGGCCUAACACAUGCAAGUCGGACGGUAGCACAGAGAGCUUGCUCUCGGGUGACGAGUGGCGGACGGGUGAGUAAUGUCUGGGGAUCUGCCCGAUAGAGGGGGAUAACCACUGGAAACGGUGGCUAAUACCGCAUAACGUCGCAAGACCAAAGAGGGGGACCUUCGGGCCUCUCACUAUCGGAUGAACCCAGAUGGGAUUAGCUAGUAGGCGGGGUAACGGCUCACCUAGGCGACGAUCCCUAGCUGGUCUGAGAGGAUGACCAGCCACACUGGAACUGAGACACGGUCAAGACUCCUACGGGAGGCAGCAGUGGGGAAUAUUGCACAAUGGGCGCAAGCCUGAUGCAGCCAUGCCGCGUGUAUGAAGAAGGCCUUCGGGUUGUAAAGUACUUUCAGCGGGGAGGAAGGCGAUGUGGUUAAUAACCGUAUCGAUUGACGUUACCCGCAGAAGAAGCACCGGCUAACUCCGUGCCAGCCGCCGCCGUAA
rnacentral:rRNA from 1 species